rnacentral:misc_RNA from 1 species
AAGACUAUAGACCUGCGGAGUACCUGCGGAAGGAUCAUUUUCGGGAGAGAUUAACAGACUUGUGGGAAACCCCACGAGUUGGUAACCUUUACACACUGAAUAUAACACGGCAUUUGUCUGAAAAUACAAUGGAAAAUUGAUUGAUAAAACUUUCAGCAAUGGAUCUCU